rnacentral:tRNA from 1 species
GAGGGUAUAGCUCAGUGAUAGAGUGCAUGCCUAGCAUGCAUGAGGUCCUGGGUUCAAUCCCCAGUUCCUCCC